UAUAACAAACACCCGUAAAAUCAAGUCCCACACCUUUGAAUGCUGUUGGAGUUACUCAUCAACUGCUUACUCUAACAAAAUUGGAUCUUUACACUGGAGAGCAAUGGUGUUGACAAGUUCAAGGACUAGGAUUUUUGUGAUGGUGUUGAUUGGAUUUACACUGUUGGUGUCAGUCGGCAAAGCCCAGUGACUUUUUCAUAGCUGAACUGAAACAACGUACAUCAGAAUAGUGUCCCGCUAUAGUUUGAGCCACCACUGAACCUCCUGAGGUCAUUACCAAAGUGUCGUCGGCAGUGGAAACCCUGUUAUCUGCUUGUGCUUGUGGCGCCGGCGUGCAAUCGUAAAAGGACGUGCAGCAGUUUACAAGAGUUGACGAAUUACAGGACAUAAUGGAUAGAGAAUCAGAUGAAGAAAGUGGGAUCCCGCCACCACCAACG